CGCGUAGGCGGUCUUGUCGGUCAGAUGUGAAAGCCCGGGGCUCAACCCUGGAAGUGCAUUUGAAACAGCAAGACUUGAAUACUGGAGAGGAGAGCGGAAUUCCUGGUGUAGAGGUGAAAUUCGUAGAUAUCAGGAGGAACACUGAUGGCGAAGGCAGCUCUCUGGACAGAUAUUGACGCUGAGGCGCGAAGGUGUGGGUAGCGAACAGGAUUAGAUACCCUGGUAGUCC
rnacentral:rRNA from 1 species